rnacentral:rRNA from 1 species
GCGGCACGCCUAACACAUGCAAGUCGAACGAAGUAGCAAUACUUAGUGGCAGACGGGUGAGUAACAUGUAGGUAUCUGCCCUUUGGCCUGGAAUAACACGAGGAAACUUGUGCUAAUACUGGAUAAGUCUUUACGGAGAAAGCUUUAUGCACCAUUGGAUGAGCCUGCACUUGAUUAGUUUGUUGGUGGGGUAAUGGCCUACCAAGACUGUGAUCUAUAGCUGAUUUGAGAGGAUGAUCAGCCACAUUGGGACUGAGACACGGCCCAAACUCCUACGGGAGGCAGCAGUGGGGAAUCUUGCACAAUGGAGGAAACUCUGAUGCAGCGAUGCCGCGUGAGUGAAGAAGGCCUUUGGGUUGUAAAGCUCUUUCGUCGGGGAAGAAAAUGACUGUACCCGAAUAAGAAGGUCCGGC